CAUUAAGAAGCUAUAGGGUACAGCGACAGCCUUUUAAGCUGUAGACAGGUGUCUCCCAACCACCCUUAAUGG
rnacentral:tRNA from 1 species